AUCAGUACUAAAUAUUGGCUCCUAGGCAAUAAGGUAGUAAGGGAUAGGCAAUUGGGGUUAAGUAACUUGCCCUGGGUCACACAGCUAGACAGUGCCUGAGAUCAGAUUUGAACCCAAGACCUCCCAUCUCUAGGCUUGGUUCUCUAUCCACUGUGCCACCUAGGUGCCCUCUUCCUGAUCUUCUUAGCUUUCCUCCAUUCUACCAUUCCAUUGUUUAUUUCCUAUGACCUAGACUAGAUAGUCCCUAAAGUCCCUUCCAGCUCUAAUAAAUUAUCAUUCUGAGAUUCCAUCCUGAAGACUUUGUCUGCCAGUGUUUUCUGUAAAUGGGCUAUUUGUGCCCAGUUUGUGAUAGAGCCUUCUGAGCUCACAUCUGAUGAGUCACAAUUGAACACACCGUACAUUGACCUCGACCUAAUGAUGUUAUUUUGGUCCUCUAGACAAUGAAGGACAAAAACUAGUAUCUCUGAGAGAAUAACUAUGAUUGACUUGGCCAACACACAGUUUUAUCAGAUGGUCUUCACCGGUUCAAGAACUCUAGGUUAAGAACUCCUGGACUACAAGACCUCCAAGAUAGCUUUAUGGCACCGUCACAUGUACUUCUCCUCCAUAUGGCUUCCUGUCAUCCUAGCAAAAGCUCCUUUUAGCUGAUGUUCUUCCCAGUGCUGACAACCCAGAAAUGCACUCUCAGACAUUUCCCAUCAUGGAAACUCCAGUUCUAGUCCAGGUUGAUCUGUCAAUGACAGCUCCAGGAGAGUAAGCAAUGUGAGGCUGUGUUUAGGUUUCUGUAGACAGCCAAAUGGGGAAAUCAGUCCUUGGUAACGUGCCAGUCUAUCAUUUUGUCAUAAUAUAGUUGCUGUGAUGGCAUUA